GGACUACCAGGGUUUCUAAUCCUUAUUGCUACCCAAGGCUUCGUCCCUCAACGUCAGUUUUUAAUAAAAAGUCGCCUUCGCUGCUACCCGUCCUACCUGUAUUAUAGAAUUUUGACUCUCCUCAGGCAAUUCGAACUUUUACAUUUAAAACUCUAGAAAAUUAGUCCCUUAGCUGGCUUUAUUUUCCGUCUAGGUACCCUUUAAACCUAAUAAAGAUGAAUAACACUAGUCUUCUACGUGUUACCGCGGCUGCUGGCAC
rnacentral:rRNA from 1 species